UACGUAGGGAGCAAGCGUUGUUCGGAUUUACUGGGCGUAAAGGGCGCGUAGGCGGUCGUGACAAGUCACUUGUGAAAUCUCCGGGCUUAACUCGGAACGGUCAAGUGAUACUGCCGGACUAGAGUACAGAAGGGGCAACUGGAAUUCUCGGUGUAGCGGUGAAAUGCGUAGAUAUCGAGAGGAACACCUGCGGCGAAGGCGGGUUGCUGGGCUGAUACUGACGCUGAGGCGCGAAAGCCAGGGGAGCGAACGGG
rnacentral:rRNA from 1 species